UACGUAGGGUGCGAGCGUUGUCCGGAAUUAUUGGGCGUAAAGUGUGCGCAGGCGGCCGCGCAAGUCGAGUGUGAAAGCCCCGGGCUUAACUUGGGAAUUGCGCUCGAAACUACGUGGCUGGAGUGUGGCAGAGGAAGGUGGAAUUCCAGGUGUAGCGGUGAAAUGCGUAGAGAUCUGGGGGAACACCGAUGGCGAAGGCAGCCUUCUGGGCCAACACUGACGCUCAUGCACGAAAGCGUGGGGAGCAAACAGG
rnacentral:rRNA from 1 species